AGGAGCCCUGCGAGAUGAAAGUCUCAUGCACGGUUUUGAAUGAGAGAAAGAAGUGAGGAAUCCUCUUUUCGACUCUGAC
rfam:Punica granatum cultivar Dabenzi scaffold157, whole genome shotgun sequence.